rnacentral:rRNA from 1 species
CCUACGGGAGGCUGCAGUGAGGAAUAUUGGUCAAUGGACGAGAGUCUGAACCAGCCAAGUAGCGUGAAGGAUGACUGCCCUAUGGGUUGUAAACUUCUUUUAUAUGGGAAUAAAACGUUCCACGUGUGGGAUUUUGUAUGUACCAUAUGAAUAAGGAUCGGCUAACUCCGUGCCAGCAGCCGCGGUAAUACGGAGGAUCCGAGCGUUAUCCGGAUUUAUUGGGUUUAAAGGGAGCGUAGGUGGAUUGUUAAGUCAGUUGUGAAAGUUUGCGGCUCAACCGUAAAAUUGCAGUUGAUACUGGCAGUCUUGAGUACAGUAGAGGUGGGCGGAAUGCGUGGUGUAGCGGUGAAAUGCUUAGAUAUCACGAAGAACUCCGAUUGCGAAGGCAGUUCACUGGACUGCAACUGACACUGAGGCUCGAAAGUGUGGGUAUCAAACAGGAUUAGAUACCCCGGUAGUC